ACAUGGACUGUGCAGACACCCUAUACCCACAUUACAUUCCUUAUCACUGGACUACCAGGUAUUUCUUCACAAAUAAUGUUGUAGCGGACUACAGACUUAACUUUGGCGCUGACAACGUUGUACUCCUCACCUCUUGUACAAUGCAGGACCACCCUCACUAUGUGCUUCAUGGAAUCACAAAAACUACCGAGUAAAGACGAGGCUGAAUGUGAGCAUUAAGUGGUUGUGUAGUUAACAUCGAUAGCACGAUUGACAACAAACUGGAGCAGCUCAGUAUUUGAGCAAUAUUAUCCAUCUAUCACAGGGCACUUUCCAGUUCUACACCAGUGUCGACUCAGAAAAAUUUUCAGAUAGUGUGCAUGCUUAUCGAGGCAGAGUUGCCAACAGAUCUCUACAAUCAGCCUAUUUUACAGAGCGGUCAGUACAGUGGCAAAGGUGAACUAACGAGCACCAGUUUGAAUGUAUCUUUCACUGUUCGCUGUGAGGAAGGUUUCUUUGGUGAAGGAUGCGAGAGACUAUGCAGUUUCAUAAUGGGUAGCUACCUGAAAAAUAAGUGAGCUGUAGAUCUACUCGAUCAUGCAUUACCUGCUAUA